GUAAUUGGGACAGUAGUUAGGGGCAGUUGGGACAGUAGUUUGGGCAGUUGGGACAGUAGUUAGCGACAGUUGGGACAGUAGUUAGGGGCAGUUGGGACAGUAGUUUGGACAGUUGGGAAAGUACUUAGCGGCAGUUGGGACAGUAGUUAGGGCAGUUGGGACAGUAGUUGGGGCAGUUGGGACAGUAGUUAGUGGCAUUAGCGACAGUUGGGACAGUAGUUUGCGCCAGUUGGGAAAGUAGUUAGGGGCAGUUGGGACAGUAGUUAGCAACAGUUGGGAAAGUAGUUAGGGGUAGUUGGGACAGUAGUUAGCUGCAGUUGGGACAGUAGUUAGCAGCAGUUGGGAAAGUAGUUGGGGCAGUUGGGACAGUAGUUAGCGACAGUUGGGACAGUAGUUAGUGGCAGUUGGGACAGUAGUUAGGGGCAGUUGGGACAGUAGUUAG
ensembl:lncRNA